AGACCCGAAACCCGGUGAUCUAGCCAUGGGCAGGUUGAAGGUUGGGUAACACUAACUGGAGGACCGAACCGACUAAUGUUGAAAAAUUAGCGGAUGACCUGUGGCUGGGGGUGAAAGGCCAAUCAAACCGGGAGAUAGCUGGUUCUCCCCGAAAGCUAUUUAGGUAGCGCCUCGUGAAUUCAUCUCCGGGGGUAGAGCACUGUUUCGGCUAGGGGGCCAUCCCGGCUUACCAACCCGAUGCAAACUGCGAAUACCGGAGAAUGUUAUCACGGGAGACACACGGCGGGUGCUAACGUCCGUCGUGAAGAGGGAAACAACCCAGACCGCCAGCUAAGGUCCCAAAGUCAUGGUUAAGUGGGAAACGAUGUGGGAAGGCCCAGACAGCCAGGAUGUUGGCUUAGAAGCAGCCAUCAUUUAAAGAAAGCGUAAUAGCUCACUGGUCGAGUCGGCCUGCGCGGAAGAUGUAACGGGGCUAAACCAUGCACCGAAGCUGCGGCAGCGAACGUAUCACCCAAGACAACUUUACGGAGUUGGCGAUUGACGGAGCGAAGCGACGUCAAAGCGUUCAUUAAAGUCGAGUUGGCUUAGGGAUACGUUCGUUGGGUAGGGGAGCGUUCUGUAAGCCUGUGAAGGUGUGUCGUGAGGCAUGCUGGAGGUAUCAGAAGUGCGAAUGCUGACAUAAGUAACGAUAAAGCGGGUGAAAAGCCCGCUCGCCGGAAGACCAAGGGUUCCUGUCCAACGUUAAUCGGGGCAGGGUGAGUCGACCCCUAAGGCGAGGCCGAAAGGCGU
rnacentral:rRNA from 1 species